CCUUUACUCGUUGAAGCUUAUAUUUAUCCGUUGAUGAAGCCUGAGCUAUUUUCUUCGCAUCAUCCAUCGUUGGAAACAAGUCUUCGACUUUGCAAGUUACUCUUUAAUUUCUCAUUAGAUACUUGAAUAGAAUCACAACAUUUUUCCUUCUCCACCUUUUCUUCGACCAGUUCCUUGUUAAUUUUCCCAACAAGAUUCCCAAAAAUCUCCCCUUCACCCUUUUCUGAAUCAACCUUGGACCUUGAUGGGGUCUUCUCAAUGGAGAUAUUUCUCCGAUUAUCAUUU